rnacentral:rRNA from 1 species
AACGAACGCUGGCGGCAGGCUUAACACAUGCAAGUCGAGCGCCCCGCAAGGGGAGCGGCAGACGGGUGAGUAACGCGUGGGCAUCUACCGUGCCCUGCGGAAUAGCUCCGGGAAACUGGAAUUAAUACCGCAUACGCCCUACGGGGGAAAGAUUUAUCGGGGUAUGAUGAGCCCGCGUUGGAUUAGCUAGUUGGUGGGGUAAAGGCCUACCAAGGCGACGAUCCAUAGCUGGGCUGAGAGGAUGAUCAGCCACAUUGGGAGUGAGACACGGCCCAAACUCCUACGGGAGGCAGCAGUGGGGAAUAUUGGACAAGGGGCGCAAGCCUGAUCCAGACAUGCCGCGGGAGUGAUGAAGGCCCUAGGGUUGUAAAGCUCUUUCAACGGUGAAGAUAAUGACGGUAACCGUAGAAGAAGCCCCGGCUAACUUCGUGCCAGCAGCCGCCGUAACAC